UGACGUUAGCGGCGGACGGGUGAGUAACACGUGGGUAACCUACCUAUAAGACUGGGAUAACUUCGGGAAACCGGAGCUAAUACCGGAUAACAUUUGGAACCGCAUGGUUCUAAAGUGAAAGAUGGUUUUGCUAUCACUUAUAGAUGGACCCGCGCCGUAUUAGCUAGUUGGUAAGGUAACGGCUUACCAAGGCGACGAUACGUAGCCGACCUGAGAGGGUGAUCGGCCACACUGGAACUGAGACACGGUCCAGACUCCUACGGGAGGCAGCAGUAGGGAAUCUUCCGCAAUGGGCGAAAGCCUGACGGAGCAACGCCGCGUGAGUGAUGAAGGGUUUCGGCUCGUAAAACUCUGUUAUUAGGGAAGAACAAACGUGUAAGUAACUGUGCACGUCUUGACGGUACCUAAUCAGAAAGCCACGGCUAACUACGUGCCAGCAGCCGCGGUAAUACGUAGGUGGCAAGCGUUAUCCGGAAUUAUUGGGCGUAAAGCGCGCGUAGGCGGUUUCUUAAGUCUGAUGUGAAAGCCCACGGCUCAACCGUGGAGGGUCAUUGGAAACUGGGAAACUUGAGUGCAGAAGAGGAAAGUGGAAUUCCAUGUGUAGCGGUGAAAUGCGCAGAGAUAUGGAGGAACACCAGUGGCGAAGGCGACUUUCUGGUCUGUAACUGACGCUGAUGUGCGAAAGCGUGGGGAUCAAACAGGAUUAGAUACCCUGGUAGUCCACGCCGUAAACGAUGAGUGCUAAGUGUUAGGGGUUUCCGCCCCUUAGUGCUGCAGCUAACGCAUUAAGCACUCCGCCUGGG
rnacentral:rRNA from 1 species